rnacentral:misc_RNA from 1 species
AAGAAAAGAAAAGAAAAAAAAAAUCAAAAAGCCUUCUUCUUCUUAUCCCUUGCCGCCUCCCAUCUCUCUUUCCCUCACCAUUACUAACUCCAUUAAAGCUUGCACUCAAGUUUUGAAACCCUCACUAAAUCUCAACUUCUUCCAUACUUGCUUCACAAAAACUUGAUUUAGUCACUUGAGAGGAAGAUUUGUCAUCAAAGAAUUGAAGAAAAUUUAGAGGAAGUGAAGAUCAAAGACUUCACCUAAGGUUAGUAAUGCAAACUUCAAAUUUUUAGUUUAAUUAGUGUAUGUAUAGCAUCAAGAACAUAGAAAUAAACUUAAAAUGAAAAGAAAAAUUUGUUGAGGGACUAAACUGAAAUUUCAGCCAGCAUGAGGGGGAGGGUGAUUUGCAUGGUUUGAUUUUGUUGAAUGGGUAUAUGAACCUUGAAUUAGUGAUUGGUUAUGAUUAAAGAGUUUGAAAAUAGCUAAAUGCAAGAAAUUGACAACUUAGGGUUUUGGACAUCAGGGUUUAGAGACUAAAAAUGUGAGGAAGUGGUAAAUAGUAUCUUUGACCUAAUGUAAAGUAAAAAAUGGUCAUUUGUAACCUAAUUAAGUGUGUUAGAAGUG